CGUGCAGGCGGUUUGGUAAGUCGGACGUGAAAGUUCCCGGCUCAACUGGGAGAGGCCGUUCGAAACUACCAGACUAGAGGGCAGUAGAGGGAGGUGGAAUUCCGGGUGUAGCGGUGAGAUGCGUAGAUAUCCGGAGGAACACCAGUGGCGAAGGCGGCCUCCUGGACUGUCCCUGACGCUAAGACGCGAAAGCUAGGGUAGCAAACG
rnacentral:rRNA from 1 species